rnacentral:rRNA from 1 species
AUGGCGCCCAAGAAGGCUCGGGCCACUCCUCGGCCAUCCUGGUAUGAACCCGUGCUCGACCCGCCGAGCGUUUCGGAGAAGAACCUUGCCGUCGUGCUCCUGAUGACGGUGGAGGGUGACGAGAAGAGGAAGACUGCGCUCCGGGUUGGCUCCACCAAGCCGAAGGCCUCGGACAGCACCUUCUACCCCUUCUUCAUGAGCAACAUCAUUGCCGGGUUGGUUCCCCCCUUCUCCGACUUCUUCUACUCCGUCCUUAGCCACUACAAGAUCCACACCCUCCAUCUUCAUCCCAACUCCGUCCUCCUCCUGUCGAUCUUCGCCUUCUACUGCGAGGCGUACGUCGGAGUGAUGCCGUCCGUGGCACUGCUGUGCCACUUCUUCUUCCUUGGGCUUAAGGAGGGCCCCUGCUCAGGGUGCGUUGGCUUCGUCGUGGCCAACAAGACCAACGCCAUCUCGACGGCCGGGAAGAAGGCCGAGGGCUUCAGGAGCAAGUGGUCUUGA